AGAAGUGGAGCUGAGGGGGGCGUGAAGGUCAAAGCAUUUGCCCGAAUUCCCUUUUUGUGUUCUGACAGCCCCUCUUCCAUCCUCUGGGUGAGAAGCAGCCGAACAAUGACUGGGCACCAGCACGGUGCCCAGUGGAGGCGACAGUGGGGCCACGGAAGCCGAGGGACGGGCGCUGAACCGGGCAGGCCGGCACCGAGUGCUCCAAACGUUAAAUGUGGCAGCUGCUGAGAUGGCUGUGACCCUCCGAGGCACAGCCCCGGGUGGGGCUCCUGCCGGGAAAGCCCCAUGGGCCAAGGCCAUGCGUGGCCCUGAGGCCCCACCGCCAAGGCCGGCUCCAGAUCCCCUGAUGCAGGACACCCUCCGACCCCAGGAGGUGACCCCAGCACCGCGGACACGAUCCUGCCAGCUGGUCAGUGUCUCUCUUGCGCCUGCCCCCUCCCCAACAGUGGCAGAGAUGGUGCCCCACUCCUGCCUGGCAGAAGGUGGGCGGGCGGCCCCAUGAUCUCCUCCCAGGCUGCGUGGCCGGCCUCGUGCCCAGCUGCACAUGUCUGGGGGCCGAGGACCACCGGGCCUGAGCCUCAGUGCAGAGGUCACCACACCGCCUGCUGGCCUGCCUUCCGGGAUGGCGGGGAGCCCAGGCGCCUGCCCUCGGCCAGUGGACGGUGGCGGCUCGAGGCCUCGUGCGAUCCGCUGCGGAGCUGCCAGGGCCGCCUGGACCCCUUCUCCUACUUAGGAAGAUCCGGCCAGCGGAGUGGCUCGCUCACGGGGAGCAGCAGUGACCUCACCUCCGCUUUAUGAAUAAAACUGGAACAGGCGCCCACUCGCUGGAGACCCCGCAGCUGCGCCUCCUCCUCAGAGGAGCAUCCUUGGGCCCCAGUGACUUCCUGAACCAGCGGGCUCCUCCGUACACCGCCCUCCCGGCUCCCUCGGCCCCGUCUCGCCCGCCUUCUCCAUCCUCCGUGGGUGAGGCCUCAGCUUCUCACUUGCUCUUGGCCAGGCUGCAGCCUGCUGCUCAUGGGGCGAGGGGCGGGGGUACAGGGGUCAGGACCCUGAGCCUGGGCCACCUUCUCCUUGCUCCUUGGGGUCCUGACUGGAAAUGGGGAGCAGGGCCCCCUCCGAGGCUUGGUGGGGGCUGCUGCCAGGUCCAGACCUAGAACUCAGGACCCAUCUCCUCCAGGGGAUGGCGGUCGUGCCCUCGUGGUGGCCCCUGUCUCAGUUUUGGAGGCCUGAGCUGAUGUGGCAGCCCUGUAGGACAAGGGCACAGGGCCUGCUCGUCACCUGCGCCCCAGCCCCUGACGUUUGAAGCUUCCCCACUGGAGUCAGGUUGCCAGCGCCUGGCAGAGGGGCGCCCCACCGGCACGGCCCGUCCUGCCCUCUGGACCACCGUCCUGCCCUCUCCAGGACGCAGGUCUCUUCUGCCCCCCAGUGUCCCCCAGGAGCUUUCUUGGCCCAUUGUCUGUGACACCCAGCCCUGGGCUCCGCUGGCAUGUGACCACAGCCCUGGAGGUGGGGGCUGGGUCUGAAUGAGCACAGGGCUCCCCCGCCCUGCCGGAAGCCAGCAGCAGGCUCUCUGGGCUCCGCUCCACCCCGGGACUUACAGCCACCAGCCCCAGGGGGGGACUGGGAGGACCCAGAGCCCGGGGCCUGGGUGGGAGGGGGCCGAGGCAGGGCAGGUGGCUGCUAGGCCCCCGGCCCUGUGGUCUCUGAGGGCGGAACUGGCCUCGGAGGGGUCUCAGCUCUGGUCCCUGUGUGUGCCCGCCUGCUGGGUGACGGGGGCGCAGCCCUGAUGUUCCCCCAGGAGCCCCUGGACCAGCUGGAGUCUGCACUUGGCGGAGCCCUGCUCUGACACUCACCCCCACACUGUGCAGUGAGUCAGCUCCUCGUCCCCCUCCACCCCCGGCACCACUGUCACCGUGGCCUGGACCUGCACUGCACUGGGCUUGGGGCAGAGGCGGGGAGGGGGAGUGCGGAGGCCACAGAGUCACUGAGUCACACGAGGGGGAGGGGGAGGCCGGCAAAGGGAUAUGAGCGAAACCCACACGGACCCCGGGCUCGCUGGUCUUGCCCUCCUCCUGAACUAAGCAGACGCGGGGGCCAGGGUCAGGGUUCAGAGUGGGCCCAAGGUCAGGGUCAGGGUCGGCUCAGGGGGUGACCAGGGUCAGGGCUCACCCACGCUGGGCGCAGCAGAUCCCUGACUGCAGGCUGAUCAGGAACCUUCCAACCCAGAGGUCUUGGUUGGGGCCGCCUGCACUCCUCAUGAAUCCAGCAGAGGGCACUGUGCCGCCCCCACGGACAGAACACAGAGCCCCUGGUCCGGAAGGGUCUGCGGGGGCCCGGGGGGUGGGGGAGACACGCUCACUCACACACCCUUAUCCCCAGGCUGGGAGACCAUCCUGGAGAGGGUGUGACAGAGGGGUGACAACCACACCUCACAGCUGGGCCUCUGCUGAGGGCGGGUGGGAGCAGCCAGGGACACCCAGACCCCUCGGGCCCCACCCUUCGUGCCUCUGGCUCCCUUCCCACUGGCGCUACUCACAGCAGGGAAGUGGGACUCGUCCCCGGCCGGGGCCAGGGCGACAGGCUUUUGUACCUGCUGAGUCUCUCAGCGGGAUGUGGCAGUUCCCCCUCUGAGCCCGGGGUCUCCAACCCACCCUUCGGGCACUGCCCAGGAAUCCUUUCCUUCCCAAGGCCUGGAGGGGCGGGCAUAUGGCAGGCACCACCCAGCAGGAAGUCUCUGGUCCAGCGUGGGCCUCGGGACCCUCCGUGAACAGGGAAACCGUAGGCACGGUCCCCGCACCCACCUGCCUGGACUGGCCUGUCCACCUGGGAGGCCGUGCGCCCAGCAGGCCCGCUCAGGUGGCGAGGUGGCCGGAGGGCGGGGGAGCCCAGGGCCACGAGCUCUAGCUGAGACGGAGGCCCAGGCAGCUGCUCUGGCUGCUGUCCUCGGUCUCGGGUAACGGGCAGUGGGUGACCUGCUCCUCGGUCUCAGGCAGGGAAAUCUGGAAACAUCUGGUUUCUCCCAGAGUCCUCGGGCCAGUACUGCCCACGGAGCCGUGUGACCUCGGCCAGGCCCUGCUCCUCAGGCUCUGAAGGGCACAGAGGGAGCCACAGUCAGGGAGGCGGUGCAGGGGCGGAGGGUGCGUGCACACAGGAGGGGCUGUCAGCCGGGGCUGGGAGAGGGCGCGGGACAGGUCGGGAGGCUGGGAGAGGACCAGGGCCACGCGGUCCAGCACCCAGCCUAGAGCAGACCCUCCGGCCCGCCGGCCCACAGGCCCCCAUCCUAGGCUCUGCUUGUCCCAGGGCUCUGCCCCCCGCCACACCAAGUCUCCCGCUGGCCAGGGGCGGCCCAGCACAGCUCCCCACCCCACCAGCUUCUCCCCUCCCCCAUCACUGCCCUCAGGAGUGGCAGGAGGGCUCAGGCACGCUGACCACCUGCAGCGCUGACUCGGGACCCAGGUAGCUCGCCGGCCUCCUCUGCAGCAGAAGCAGGCCCUUGUGUCUGGGGCCCAGCGCACCACGGUCACGGUCACAGUCACGGUCGAGCAGGAGGACGCCCAGGUGUGCAGGGCAGGGGGCGUGCACGGGGCCUGUGGGAGCUCAGCCCGCAGCAGUGGAUGGUGGAGGCGGCCCCCUCGGGCCUUUUUGAAGAGCUUUUUUCCUAUGGGGCCGGAGCUGGGAGACCACGAGGGGACCACAUGGCCCUCCCUUGCCCCCCAGGCCCGUCCCCCUCCCCUCCCCCAUCUCUGAGCCAACGCUUCGACCCGGGACCCAUCGUAUGUCUGACACAAGGGCUUUUGGAAAACACGCCCACACACCCUAGCGCACCGCGUUCCUGGUGGGGGCAGAGGCCCGGCCACCGUCGGUUGCCCGGGUGACUCGCAAGCGUCCUUUCAGCUGGUGUUUUCAGAUCCAGAGGGCACGCGGGCCUGCACUGCCCGUGUUGGUUCCUGGCGGCCUCCCGUGGUCCCGGCCUCGAGACUGCCAGGAGAUGUGCCCUCUGUGCUGUGGCCGCGAGGCAGACACCGCCCCAGGAAACCUGUCACAGCAGCUCCCCAUAAGUGUUCCGGACAAGUGCCAGGGCCUCGCCUGGCCCAUCUCAGGGUCAGCGAGGAGAGGCAAGGACCAAGGCAGGGACACACCUUUCCACCCCGCUGCAUGCCCCCAGGGUCCCGCGCCACCACACUCUGGCCCGUGGCUUGGGGGGGCCUCCUCCUCUGCCCCCAGCUGGCGGCGAGGUCCUGGCACAGGCAGGCGCUCAGCCAACGCUGUCAACAGGAGGAGGAACAGAAGGGGGCACCGGACAGAGGGAACAGCACGCGUGAAGGAGCAGGGUGUUGGAGCGUCAAGCACUGGUGUCAGCGCCGUGGCAAGGGGAGGUGACAAGGGAGGGCGGGACUGGCAUCCUCAGCUCCACCCUCCCGGCUGAGACACCCCUGACACUGCCAGCAGCUCACCAGGACCCUGGGCCUGUCGGCUCCCCGUCCCCUCUGGGGGAUUCGUGGGUGCUUCCCCCUCAAGCCCCCGUGAGCCCCAGGUGACUGAGCCAUGGGGUCCCAGGCCUGGACUGCAGGCCACAUGGCAGAGGAUGGCAGGAGCCCUGGGCACCACUUCCUUCAAGGUGGCCCCCAGGGGCCAGGCAGAGGGAAGGCGUGAUGGCGACGAGGUGACAGGAAUGCCCCCCCCAUAAGCUCCCUGUCCCGAGCACCUACUGUGGCGAGCCAGGUGCUGUCUCAGGCCCUGAAGCAACCACAACGAAUCCCGCCUCGGGGCGUCUUCUGCCUGUUGUCCCCCUGCUCCCGGCCCUCCCCCCCGCCCAUAGGGUGGGCUGCCCUUGGGUGGGGGCACCCAGGUGGGGCUGUGCAGAGAGACCGGCUGUCUGGGUCCGAGGCUGGCUGCCCGUCCCUUGGGCCCCGGGGUCCUGCCUGCCCACUGGACCGAAUCAAAGUCCAGUAACGAAGCGGGAGAAACUCCUCAGCCUGGACCCCGGGAUUGGGGGGCGGGCAGAGAAGAGGGUGACUGAUGACCAGUCACAUGGCCAGGCUCAAGGAAGUUGAUGAAGGGACACGGGGGAGGUGGUGGGCCAGCCUGGCCUGCACUCCCUAACCCCACGCAGCUGGCCCGAGCACGCAGACCAGACCGUGGCCCUACCCAACCCAGGGGUCCGACCUCCCAGCCCCUCCCAGUUUCCCCAGGCCUGAAUCCCCCCCAGACGGGGCAUCGGAAUGUGUCCCUGCCUCGGCCGCAGCGGGCGCUUGGCGAGCGUCUGCUGAGAGAUGGACCAAGGCCCCAGGCUCCCCGCCCAGCCUGGCGCCCGCCCGUCCUUCCUGCAAGCUCCGCCCGGAGCACUGCCCUGCAUCUCCCGGGCAUCCGGGCGCUGCGCAGCUGUGGGGGGACGAGAGGGCCAGCCAGCGGCGUGCCCCCUGCCCGGUGCGGAUUUCUCAGGCCGCAGUGCCCCGGGGACUCCGGUGACAUCACCCACCUUUGUCCCUCCUGGAGCUUCCUGGUGGCCUCUCCUCUGAGGCUCUGAGCCCUCUGCCCAGAGUCUGCAGGUCCCAACCAGCAACUCCUUGUGUAACUUUUUUAAAAUUGUGGUCACACGCACACUAAAAUUCAUCAUUUCACCCACUUUAAGUGUGCGGUGCAGGGGCACGGAUUAUAUUCACAAUGCUGCACAACCACCAGCACUGCUUCCGGAACCUCUCCUCCCUCCGAGCCCUGGAGUGGCAGGUCCCACGCCCUCGCCCAGCCCUGGCGGCCCCGGUGCUCCGGCAGCCCUGCACAGCGCCGCGGGACUGUGGCUUGCGACGGAGGGCCCCAGACUCCGAUCGGAGGCCACAGAGAGCCCAGCCAGCAGGUCCUGGCCCCCGACCCACCUUCGCUCUGACCCGGGGAACCCCGGUGACCGCCCCCCACUCUCCGAGCUGGGACAGAAGACACGGAGGCCGGAGAAGAAGACGCCUAAGGCCAAUGGCCAUUCACUUAACGGGCUACUUUGAGCAG
rnacentral:lncRNA from 1 species